AUUAAAUCUCACAACUUGUCUUGCAUAGUUUUGUGGACCAUACCUUUAUUGUUAAUGAGUCAACAAUCAGUUAAGGGAAAACUAUGGGUGAACCAUUUCUCUAUGUGCUGCAAAGACUGAGGUUUUCUACACGGUGAUGUUUUCUACACAGUGACAAUGGAGGUCGAUAUGAGGAGUCUUCUACAGAGGCACGGUCAGGACGUAGGAUUCAGUAAUGACUUUGAGAAGUCAGGCUGGGACAAUUCAAAUGACAACACAGACCAUACAAUACUGAUUGAUUCAUUUGACAAGCAGAAUGAUAUCUUGUUUAAUGGAAUGGAUGACAUCCUUGAGACUUCUGGAACAGCUUUUAAAGAUUUAGACAACCAGUCAGAGAAUGUGAAUGUAGGUGGGGAUGAUCCUUGUGAAGAAAUUGACAUUGAUAUAGACUUUUUAGGUGAAGCACACAUGUCAGAUAGUCAGGGGUAUUCCAUUAGCAACUUGACUGGAAAUGUUAUAGAGAUAUCAGAUGAUAGUAGGGAGUCCAAUGGGGUAUUGUUUUAUCAGCAAGAUGUUAAAGAAAGAGCAGACUUGUUUUUAUUUGCUCAGAAUAAAAAUCCAGAUAAUGCAGCAGAAUUAGAACAACCAAAUGCUCCUUCGCUACAAACGAAUGUCAUUAAUACCAUCAUUGAUAGCGGGGUACAUGAGGCUGAUGGUAAGAGACUGAUAGAAGAGGACAAACCAACUAACAACAGAGAAGAUGUGAAAACAAAUGAUAUCCCAAAGAACAGAAUGUCUCCACAGUUUGCAAAAAGACAUUUGCCAGACACUAAACCAGGUGAUGAUGAUAACAGAUCACAGAGACAGUUUCCUAAGCUUUAUAUGGUAUUAAAAGAUGAAAAAAAAAUUCCAACAAUACAAGCAAAGUCAUCUGAAACAUGUUCUACAAAACUGACCUUUCAGAAUUUGACUGAUUCAAAAUCUGCCAAAUUCCCCAAUCUACUUGAUGCAUUGUCACCGUCCAAAGAGUUUGAGGCUGAUAUUUAUAUCCUGGAUUCACCAGAUAAGGACUGUGUUAAAGAAAAACAAGAUAGGAUCUUAGAAUCACUUGAAUCAUUGCCUUCUGAAUCUGCAGAAAGAACACUUACAAAUUCAAGUUUCCACAUUACAUUAUUUAGUGCCGAUAACACGAGAAAGAGCAAGGGAGAUAAUAAAGAAGAUAUAAACACUGAAGAAAAAAUGGAGAAACCAAGAACGACAUCAUCUGAGGAACUCACAAAACAGUCUUUGAAAUCCAAAAACCAUGUUACUCAAAAAACAAAACAACUUCUAAAGAACAAAAUAAAAAACGAAGAGCUGCAAGUUCUUCCUAAAGAACAUUUCACAAAUAAAGUUGGAUUUGUGAAGGAUGAGGCUGUCUCCCUGUUAAAUGACUCUAGCCUAUCUGCUCCAAUACUCCCUGUAGGUCUUUACAAGGAUGGUGGCAAUUCACCAGAGGAAGAGCAAGAUGAUCUUGUUGAUAUCUCUAAACCUUGCAGCUGUAAUAUCUGUGGCAGGGUGUUCCUCAAGUAUUCCAACUUGGAAAUUCACAUUCGUGGUCAUCUUGGGGACCACCCUUAUCAUUGUAAAGAAUGUGACUCUACUUUCAAACAUAACUCCGCUUUAAAGCGACAUAUGAGAACUCACACAGGUGAAAGACCAUACAGAUGUCCCGUAUGUGACAAAUCAUUCAUUGAUGGAACAAGGCUUCGUAAGCAUAUACUAAGCCAUAACAGUGCAAAAAGCGAGUUUUGUAAAAUUUGCAAGAAAGGCUUUGCGUCACGAUCUAAUCUAAAGCACCACAUGUUAACACAUCUUGAUGAAAGGCCUUUUAAAUGUGAAUACUGCAACAAAGGAUUCAAUAAAAACUCCAAUUUAAAAUCACAUCUUAAAAUUCAUCUAGGAUACAAACCAUGGGUAUGUGAUGUUUGUGGAAAAGAAUUUCCUGAAAAGAAUCGUUUGAAAAUGCACGAGAAAAUUCAUUGGGAGGACAAGCCAUACAAGUGUGAGCAAUGCGGGGGUCAAUUUGCUCAAAUUUCAAAUCUGUACGUGCAUCAGAGGAAGCACAGGGGAGAUAAACCCUGGAAAUGUGGGCAAUGCGAUAAGUGCUUCAUGAUGAGAAGUCACCUGACUGAACACGUGAAGCGGCACACUGGGGAGAAGCAGUUCAAAUGUGCCAUGUGUCAGAAGGAGUACUACUGCAAAGGGGACUUUAACAGACACAUGCGGACCCACACCGGCGAACGCAACCAUGUCUGUGAAACCUGUGAAGAGCGCUUCAUUGACAGUUCCACACUCAGGAUACACAUAAGGAAAGUUCACAAGAAACACAGAUAUAGGUGUAAGUUUUGUGAUAAAGAAUUUUCAUUUGAAUCUUCAUUAAAACGUCAUGAGGAUAACCACAUGGGCGUCAAGAAACAUUUCUGUACUCUAUGUGAGGCUGGUUUCUUAUUCCGAGUGGAGCUAAAGGACCACAUGAAUAAACAUGUAGGUAAUAAACCACAUAGCUGCGAUAUCUGUGGAAAGAGUUUCUACAAAGGCUCGGAACUGAACCAACACAAAAAGAUUCACACCGGGGAAGCAAUGAUCUAUUGUGAAUGCUGUAACAAGACAUUCAAUUAUAAACAGUCAUAUACCAAACACUGCCAGUCUGCGAGACACGCUCGUAAUCUCAGGAAAAAUGAUGCAAAGUCGGUGCUGAACAAGAAAUCAAGAGGGGGUACAACAGAGGUAGAUAUAGUGACCUCUAGUGAUGAAACAGUUGUCAGUGAAGUUAGGGAAGAUAACUCUGUACAAGAAGCUAUUUAGUACCUUACAAGUCUUGUUAUUGUUGAUUUUAGUGUAACAAUAAUUUGUAAAUGAUGGUAUUGUAUUACCAGUAUAUGAUGUACAAACCAGAUAUAUAUUUAUACAGUAGUUGCAAAUAAACAAUGAAAGCUUAUACC
rnacentral:sRNA from 1 species